CACACGUACACACACACAUCUGACAACAUUGUCUAUAACAAGUAAGAUACACAGAGUAGAUCUAGAUCAGUCAUGUCAUGCAGGAUUAUUAAACUCUCGGCCCACCGCUGUUUCACGCAAUGUAAAUUGCACCACUUAGUUUAUCCCGGAAGUAGUACAAGAUAACACAUUCCUUAGUAUUCAUGUACCAUGACCAACAGGAAGCUCACGUAAUGCAAGUUACUUGUGGCUUCCUACUGGACAUGACGUCAAAACAGAGGAAACAAAUCACGUGGAAAGAAAGCCCUUGCUUUUAGCUAUCCAUUAGUCCAAGGUACACCAAAGUUGAGUAAUGUGUCGCAGACUUACAAGACUUUUAACAGAACCAGAUCAAGAACAUGAUUGUGUGCACCUCAUACACAAGCAGCGCUCUAGUCCUAAGGAACAUUCUUGAAGUGAGAAUUUGUGUACAAACACAGGGAAAUGAUGUCUACUUCUGAAUAAAAAGUAAGCCUUAACAUAAUUAUUUGAUAUUUGUGUUGUCUUCUUUGUUUUAAGAGGUGGUGGUCUGGCAGCAACUUUGGCUGGUGCCAGAUGGAGAUAAUAUUUGGCCAUUAUACAUACAUUUCAGGCGGUCAAUUUCAUUCGGAAUUGCAUGCCUGCAUGUCCUCUUCUCUAGCAUCACUGUGCAAUUUUGGGAGAAUGGGAAGUGCAUGCUCUUCAGAAGACGUCAUUGUUACUUCUCUCUGGAAGAAGGCUUUGGAAUUGCUCUAUGUGUGUGAUUAUGGCCUGUGGUCUGUCUGGCUAUUGAUAGCUGAAGUCUUUUCUUCAGCUUUUCAAGGGGCCCCACAUACUUGACACAGACCAGAAUAUGCUGCUGACAAUGGUCACACCUUCAUUUACAAUGUUUGUACUUUUAAGAGCAUGUUUUGUA